rnacentral:misc_RNA from 1 species
AAGUCGUAACAAGGUCUCCGUAGGUGAACCUGCGGAGGGAUCAUUCGAAAUGUACCCGCCCUCUGCAUUCCCGGCCGUAAAAAAGCCAGGAGGGGAGAAGGCACAUCAUUUCCUGGUGCUCUCUGCUCGCAUGUGCCCACCUCGUCUGAGGCGGAUUUGCUGCGAGCGGGGACGCCGGAUUUCUGUACAGGAGGGGGAUUCUGGGGUGUCUGCUUGUGCGGCCCUCUGGCUUUUCCUGUAUAUAUCUACACCUUACUAUAUGUCUGAACUUUUCACAAUUUUUUUUCCAUCUCCCUUUUUUGCCGCUCCUGGGCGCUCCGGCGUCAAGGGACGGAGUAGAACGGCGAGGGAAAAAAAAACUGUAUCAAUAAUAAUUUAAACAACUUUCAACAAUGGAUCCCUCGACUCUCC